rnacentral:rRNA from 1 species
UGUUAUGCAAGCAUAGUUCACCAUCUUUCGGGUCCUAGCAACAAUGCUCACAUUCAAAUUAUCAACAAACUGAAAAUUGAUUGGUGGUGAUGUCAUGAAACAGUCAUGUUCAUUACAUGCAAGUCUUGACACAAAGUCAGUUUGCACACUUGCCANACUCCUUGGUCCGUGUUUCAAGACGGGUCAAGUGA